GUGUCAGCCGCCGCGGUAAUACGGAGGGGGCUAGCGUUGUUCGGAAUUACUGGGCGUAAAGCGCGCGUAGGCGGCCUUGCAAGUUGGGGGUGAAAUCCCGGAGCUCAACUCCGGAACUGCCUUCAAAACUGCAAAGCUAGAGGAUGCGAGAGGUGAGCGGAAUUCCGAGUGUAGAGGUGAAAUUCGUAGAUAUUCGGAAGAACACCAGUGGCGAAGGCGGCUCACUGGCGCAUUUCUGACGCUGAGGCGCGAAAGCGUGGGGAGCAAACAGGAUUAGAUACCCUGGUAGUCCACGCCGUAAACGAUGAGGGCUAGUUGUCGGGCGGCUUGCCGUUCGGUGACGCAGCUAACGCAUUAAGCCCUCCGCCUGGGGAGUACGGUCGCAAGAUUAAAACUCAAAUGAAUUGACGGGG
rnacentral:rRNA from 1 species